CACACAGUCACCUGGAGACGUUUCAGGCAGAAUCCAGACCUGCACCAUACUUCUUCAAGAGAAGAAGCAACAGGCAUCAAGGAAGUGAGAGAAGAGGCCUCAUUGGGGAAUGAGCCUCGUGUAUUUCAGCACAUACGCCAGCAACAGGUGCCAGCUCAGCUACCGACACUGUUUCAGGAUAGCUUUCUAGAGGCAUCACCUUCUAACGCCUUGAUUUCAUCACAGCCAGUGUUUUCUAUUUAUGAGAAUGAGAUUCCUUGCAGCCUGAAUUGCUGAGGAACAUUCCAGUCAUGUGACUUCGUGUCACUCAUCAUAAGCCACCACUGGAGAGCACCAAAUGGAG
rnacentral:lncRNA from 1 species